UACGUAGGUGGCAAGCGUUGUUCGGAAUUAUUGGGCGUAAAGGGCGCGUAGGCGGUUUGUUAAGUCGGUUGUGAAAGCCCGGGGCUCAACCCCGGAGGGUCGACCGAUACUGGCAGGCUAGAGUACAGAAGAGGUAGCUGGAAUUCCCGGUGUAGCGGUGAAAUGCGUAGAUAUCAGGAGGAACACCAAUGGCGAAGGCAGCUCGCUGGAACGGUACUGACGCUGAGGCGCGAAAGCGUGGGGAGCGAACAGG
rnacentral:rRNA from 1 species